CUUGGUGCAGUCUACCAUGCAAGUCGAGCGGAACGAGUUAACUGAACCUUCGGGGGACGUUAACGGCGUCGAGCGGCGGACGGGUGAGUAAUGCCUAGGAAAUUGCCCUGAUGUGGGGGAUAACCAUUGGAAACGAUGGCUAAUACCGCAUGAUGCCUACGGGCCAAAGAGGGGGACCUUCGGGCCUCUCGCGUCAGGAUAUGCCUAGGUGGGAUUAGCUAGUUGGUGAGGUAAGGGCUCACCAAGGCGACGAUCCCUAGCUGGUCUGAGAGGAUGAUCAGCCACACUGGAACUGAGACACGGUCCAGACUCCUACGGGAGGCAGCAGUGGGGAAUAUUGCACAAUGGGCGCAAGCCUGAUGCAGCCAUGCCGCGUGUGUGAAGAAGGCCUUCGGGUUGUAAAGCACUUUCAGUCGUGAGGAAGGUUGAGGGGUUAAUAGAUGCAUUAUUUGACGUUAGCGACAGAAGAAGCACCGGCUAACUCCGUGCCAGCAGCCGCGGUAAUACGGAGGGUGCGAGCGUUAAUCGGAAUUACUGGGCGUAAAGCGCAUGCAGGUGGUUUGUUAAGUCAGAUGUGAAAGCCCGGGGCUCAACCUCGGAAUAGCAUUUGAAACUGGCAGACUAGAGUACUGUAGAGGGGGGUAGAAUUUCAGGUGUAGCGGUGAAAUGCGUAGAGAUCUGAAGGAAUACCGGUGGCGAAGGCGGCCCCCUGGACAGAUACUGACACUCAGAUGCGAAAGCGUGGGGAGCAAACAGGAUUAGAUACCCUGGUAGUCCACGCCGUAAACGAUGUCUACUUGGAGGUUGUGGCCUUGAGCCGUGGCUUUCGGAGCUAACGCGUUAAGUAGACCGCCUGGGGAGUACGGUCGCAAGAUUAAAACUCAAAUGAAUUGACGGGGGCCCGCACAAGCGGUGGAGCAUGUGGUUUAAUUCGAUGCAACGCGAAGAACCUUACCUACUCUUGACAUCCAGAGAACUUUCCAGAGAUGGAUUGGUGCCUUCGGGAACUCUGAGACAGGUGCUGCAUGGCUGUCGUCAGCUCGUGUUGUGAAAUGUUGGGUUAAGUCCCGCAACGAGCGCAACCCUUAUCCUUGUUUGCCAGCGAGUAAUGUCGGGAACUCCAGGGAGACUGCCGGUGAUAAACCGGAGGAAGGUGGGGACGACGUCAAGUCAUCAUGGCCCUUACGAGUAGGGCUACACACGUGCUACAAUGGCGCAUACAGAGGGCGGCCAACUUGCGAAAGUGAGCGAAUCCCAAAAAGUGCGUCGUAGUCCGGAUUGGAGUCUGCAACUCGACUCCAUGAAGUCGGAAUCGCUAGUAAUCGUGGAUCAGAAUGCCACGGUGAAUACGUUCCCGGGCCUUGUACACACCGCCCGUCACACCAUGGGAGUGGGCUGCAAAAGAAGUAGGUAGUUUAACCUUCGGGGGGACGCUUACACACUUGGUCC
rnacentral:rRNA from 1 species